rnacentral:rRNA from 1 species
AGUGGAUGGGGAGCAACAAAAGUUGUGUGUGUGUAAAGGUAGUGCCAAGAAAAGCUGAGUUGAUGUUGAACAAAAGAUUCCGGUACCCGAAACCGACACAGGUAGGCAAGUAGAGAAUACUAAGGGGCGCGAGGUAACUCUCUCCAAGGAACUCGGCAAAAUGACCCCGUAACUUCGGGCGAAGGGGUGCCACCGAGAGGUGGUCGCAGUGAAGAGUCCCAGGCGACUGUUUAGCAAAAACAUAGGUCUCUGCAAACUCGAAAGAGGAGGUAUAGGGGCUGACGCCUGCCCAGUGCCGGAAGGUUAAAGAAGUUGGUCAGUCGAAAGAUGAAGCUAACGACUGAAGCCCCGGUGAACGGCGGCCGUAACUAUAACGGUCCUAAGGUAGCGAAAUUCCUUGUCGGGUAAGUUCCGACCCGCACGAAAGGCGUAACGAUCUGGGAGCUGUCUCGGAGAGAGGCUCGGCGAAAUAGGAUUGUCUGUGAAGAUACGGACUACCUGCAUUUGGACAGAAAGACCCUAUGAAGCUUUACUGUAGCUUGGAAUUGUGUUCGGGCUUGCUGUGCGCAGGAUAGGUGGGAGGCUAUGAAGGUAUGCUUGUGGGUGUACUGGAGCCGUCAGUGAGAUACCACUCUCAGGGGGCUAGAAUUCUAACUAAAGAAAGGACAGUUUCAGGUGGGCAGUUUGACUGGGGCGGUCGCCUCCAAAAAGGUAACGGAGGCGUACAAAGGUUCCUUCAGACUGGUUGGAAGUCAGUCGCAGAGUGCAAAGGCAGAAAGGAGCUUGACUGCGAGAAUUACAGUUCGAGCAGGGUGGAAACACGGUCUUAGUGAUCCGACGGUGCUGUGUGGAAGGGCCGUCGCUCAACGGAUAAAAGUUACUCUAGGAUAACAGGCUGAUCUCCCCCAAGAGUUCACAUCGACGGGGAGGUUUGGCACCUCGAUGUCGGCUCAUCGCAACCUGGGGCGGAAGUACGUCCCAAGGGUUGGGCUGUUCGCCCAUUAAAGCGGUACGAGAGCUGGGUUCAGAACGUCGUGAGACAGUUCGGUCCAUAUCCGAUGUAGGCGAGAGAAUAUUGAGAGAAGCCUUCCUUAGUACGAGAGGACCGGGAAGGACGCACCGCUGGUGUACCUGUUAUGAUGCCAAUUGUAAACGCAGGGUAGCCAAGUGCGGAGAGGAUAACCGCUGAAAGCAUCUAAGUGGGAAGCCCACCUCAAGAUGAGUAUUCUGUGUUAAGGUCACGGGAAGACGACCCGUAAAUAGGCACGAGGUGGAAGUACAGUAACGUAUGAAGCCGAAGUGUACUAAUAGACCGUCAGC